UACGUAGGGUGCAAGCGUUAAUCGGAAUUACUGGGCGUAAAGCGUGCGCAGGCGGUUAUGCAAGACCGAUGUGAAAUCCCCGGGCUCAACCUGGGAACUGCAUUUGUGACUGCAUGGCUAGAGUACGGUAGAGGGGGAUGGAAUUCCGCGUGUAGCAGUGAAAUGCGUAGAUAUGCGGAGGAACACCGAUGGCGAAGGCAAUCCCCUGGACCUGUACUGACGCUCAUGCACGAAAGCGUGGGGAGCAAACAGG
rnacentral:rRNA from 1 species